rnacentral:rRNA from 1 species
AUGACGGCCAGCCGCCGCCGCCACGCCCGCUCGCCGGCGGUAGCGCCGCUGGACGACGACGACCUACUCUCCGAGAUCCUCGUCCGCCUUCCCCCGCAGCCCUCGUCCCUCCCGCGCGCCUCCCUCGUCUGCAAGCGCUGGCGCCGCCUCGUCUCCGACCCCGCCUUCUGCCGCCGCUUCCGCCUCCGCCACCGCCGCAGCGCUCCUCUCCUCGGGUUCUUCGACAUAUUCUGUAACAUCUCCUUCAUACCUACUCUGGAGGCCCCCAACCGUAUCCCUCCCGGCCGCUUCUCCUUGCAGCUCGACCACGGGGACGGCGACUUCAUGUCCCUUGGAUGCCGCCAUCGUCUCGUGCUCAUCUACCUUACGAAGCGCCUCCAGAUCCUGGCGUGGGACCCCGUCACCGCCGACCAGCAUCGCCUCGCCAUCCCCCCUGCGGUUGUGGCAUGUGCGUCGAAGACUCCGGUCAACGGGGCGGUGCUUCGCGCUGCUGGAGACGUCCAACACUUCUAG